AUUGAACGCUGGCGGCAGGCCUAACACAUGCAAGUCGAACGAGUGGCGGACGGGUGAGUAAUGUCUGGGGAACUGCCCGAUGGAGGGGGAUAACUACUGGAAACGGUAGCUAAUACCGCAUACCAUCGGAUGUACCCAUAUGGGAUUAGCUAGUAGGUGGGGUAACGGCUCACCUAGGCGACGAUCCCUAGCUGGUCUGAGAGGAUGACCAGCCACACUGGGACUGAGACACGGUCCAGACUCCUACGGGAGGCAGCAGUGGGGAAUAUUGCACAAUGGGCGCAAGCCUGAUGCAGCCAUGCCGCGUGUAUGAAGAAGGCCUUAGGGUUGUAAAGUACUUUCAGCGAGGAGGCGUUACCCGCAGAAGAAGCACCGGCUAACUCCGUGCCAGCCGCCGCGGUAAUUC
rnacentral:rRNA from 1 species